GAUGAACGCUGGCGGCGUGCCUAAUACAUGCAAGUCGAGCGAACGGACGAGAAGCUUGCUUCUCUGAUGUUAGCGGCGGACGGGUGAGUAACACGUGGAUAACCUACCUAUAAGACUGGGAUAACUUCGGGAAACCGGAGCUAAUACCGGAUAAUAUUUUGAACCGCAUGGUUCAAAAGUGAAAGACGGUCUUGCUGUCACUUAUAGAUGGAUCCGCGCUGCAUUAGCUAGUUGGUAAGGUAACGGCUUACCAAGGCAACGAUGCAUAGCCGACCUGAGAGGGUGAUGGGCCACACUGGAACUGAGACACGGUCCGGACUCCUACGGGAGGCAGCAGUAGGGAAUCUUCCGCAAUGGGCGAAAGCCUGACGGAGCAACGCCGCGUGAGUGAUGAAGGUCUUCGGAUCGUAAAACUCUGUUAUUAGGGAAGAACAUAUGUGUAAGUAACUGUGCACAUCUUGACGGUACCUAAUCAGAAAGCCACGGCUAACUACGUG
rnacentral:rRNA from 1 species